rnacentral:rRNA from 1 species
GACAAACGCGUGACGGCGUGCUUCCUGCAUGAUGCUCUAACCAAGACGACUUGCAUUGGAAGGGACUCGAGCGUGCAACAGAAGACUAACGCGUGAAUGAUCUACCAAGAACCUCGGAAUUUGCCUGUGCAACUGUUUCCUAUACCGGAUAAAACCGCACUUUAUAGUGGGUGAGUGCAUAUUUUUUUCAGGGUGUGAGGAGCUCACGGCCUAUCAUGUAGGAGGAGCGGUACAUGCCCUACCAAGGCGGGGACGGGUAGUCGGCCUAAGAGGGCGUACACUCGCUUUGCGACUGAAAUACGCCCACUGACUCCUACUGGAAGCGACAUACAGCAAUAUAUGCGCUAUGGGCGCAAGCCUUAUGCAACGACGCCGCAUGGGGGAUAAACGCCUUCGAGUUGUAAACUCCUGUCGCAAGACACGAAGCUUUGUGUGACCGUUCCUAGAUCAGGAUCACCGGCUAACUACAUGCCACCAGCCGAAGAAAUACGUAGGGUGCCAGCGUUGACCGGAAUUACUGGGCACUAAGGGCUCGUAGUGGUUUGUCGCGUCGUCUGUGAAUUCUGGGGCUUAACUCCGGGCGUGCAGGCGAUACGGGCAUAACUUGAGUGCUGUAGGGGUAACUGGAAUUCCUGGUGUAGCGGUGAAAUGCGCAGAUAUCAGGAGGAACACCGAUGGCGAAGGCAGGUUACUGGGCAGUUACUGACGCUGAGGAGCGAAAGCAUGGGUAGCGAACAGGAUUAGAUACCCUGGUAGUCCAUGCCGUAAACGGUGGGCGCUAGGUGUGAGGGUCUUUCUACGACUUUCGUGCCGUAGCUAACGCAUUAAGCGCCCCGCCUGGGGAGUACGGCCGCAAGGCUAAAACUCAAAGGAAUUGACGGGGGCCCACACAAGCGGCGGAGCAUGUGGAUUAAUUCGAUGCAACGCGAAGAACCUUACCUGGGCUUGACAUACAUCAGAUCGCUGCAGAGAUGUAGUUUCCCUUUGUGGUUGGUGUACAGGUGGUGCAUGGUUGUCGUCAGCUCGUGUCGUGAGAUGUUGGGUUAAGUCCCGCAACGAGCGCAACCCUUGUCUUAUGUUGCCAGCAUUUGGUUGGGGACUCAUGAGAGACUGCCGGGGUUAACUCGGAGGAAGGUGGGGAUGACGUCAAAUCAUCAUGCCCCUUAUGUCCAGGGCUUCACACAUGCUACAAUGGUCGGUACAACGCGUUGCGACACUGUGAGGUGGAGCGAAUCGCUGAAAGCCGGUCUUAGUUCGGAUUGGGGUCUGCAACUCGACCCCAUGAAGUCGGAGUCGCUAGUAAUCGCAGAUCAGCAAUGCUGCGGUGAAUACGUUCCGGGGCCU